rnacentral:rRNA from 1 species
GAGUUUGAUCCUGGCUCAGAUUGAACGCUGGCGGCAUGCCUAACACAUGCAAGUCGAACGGGAGUAGCAAUACUCUAGUGGCGGACGGGUGAGGAAUACGUAGGAAUUUGCCCUUAAGUGGGGGAUAACCCGGGGAAACCCGGAUUAAUACCGCAUGACCUCGAAAGAGCAAAGUGGGGGAUCGCAAGACCUCACGCUUUUGGAGAAGCCUACGUCGGAUUAGCUAGUUGGUGAGGUAAUGGCUCACCAAGGCGACGAUCCGUAACUGGUCUGAGAGGAUGAUCAGUCACACCGGAACUGAGACACGGUCCGGACUCCUACGGGAGGCAGCAGUGGGGAAUAUUGGACAAUGGGCGCAAGCCUGAUCCAGCAAUGCCGCGUGUGUGAAGAAGGCCUUCGGGUUGUAAAGCACUUUAAGUUGGGAAGAAAAAACUCGCUCUAACACAGUGAGUCUUGACGGUACCGACAGAAUAAGCACCGGCUAACUCUGUGCCAGCAGCCGCGGUAAUACAGAGGGUGCAAGCGUUAAUCGGAUUUACUGGGCGUAAAGCGUGCGUAGGCGGUUCGUUAAGUCGAUUGUGAAAGCCCUGGGCUUAACCUGGGAAUUGCAGUCGAUACUGGCGGACUAGAGAACGGUAGAGGGAGGCGGAACUCCAGGUGUAGCGGUGAAAUGCKUAGAUAUCUGGAAGACACCCGAUGGCGAAGGCAACCUCCUGGGCCUGUUCUGACGCUGAGGC